rnacentral:rRNA from 1 species
UACGUAGGGGGCUAGCGUUGUCCGGAUUUAUUGGGCGUAAAGAGCGUGUAGGCGGCCAUGUAGGUCCGUUGUGAAAACUCGAGGCUCAACCUCGAGACGCCGAUGGAAACCAUGUGGCUAGAGUCCGGAAGAGGAGAGUGGAAUUCCUGGUGUAGCGGUGAAAUGCGCAGAUAUCAGGAAGAACACCCGUGGCUAAGGCGGCUCUCUGGUACGGUACUGACGCUGAGACGCGAAAGCGUGGGGAGCGAACAGG